AAGAAAAAAAACUUAUAGUUGGAUAGGCCCUAUGAAUAACUGCUAUUUUGCCUCCAGUGUUUUUAUCAGUAUUUAAAUACUGUUUGGAAACAAACUGGACAUUCAAGAGAAUUAAACAACAAUUAAUCAUUGGUCUAGAUUUCGCUGUAACAAUGCCGAGCACAGCAGGGACACUCCUCACCUAGGCUUGCCUGUGGUGGGCCGCACAAAUAUAGUUGAAGGAAGAUCUCGAAGUCCAGUUCUAAACUACAGCGACGUGGUGUGAAUACCAUACAGUCGAUGCCUGUUUGCCAUUCACAGUGGAUCCGCUUGAACCGUUGGUUUCAUCACGAACAAAUCGCUGGUAUACUUCUAUCUUCAUCGGUGGCAAAGUAAGACUUUAGGGCGAUUUCGGAUCCUUGACCUUCUUAUCAUGAAUCACUUCUGACAGCGUUAACGUCGCCAUUUUGAACCGUUGUGAUUUCUUGCACGACGGGAACCAAGGGAGACGGGAUGACGCCUCCGACGCGGCAAGAGGCUGGCUGAUAGUCUAGAAGACACACCCAGAACGUUCAGACAGCAUGUAACGUGAACUACGUAACAACUCACUCCUUGCUUACUGUUUCAUACUAUGCUAUUAGGCGAAAGGCAUCGUCGGCACCAGGUGGCCGAUUCAAGAGGGCGCUGUUGUUAUUUAUGAAACAAAUUCAAAACAGAAACACCUCGCAGUACAACAUAAUUAGAAUUAUUUUUUCUGUACAUAGUUCACAGGAUGAAUUUGAUGAUAGUCUUUAAAACUUCUUUAAGAUUGUGACAGAGAAUCAAACAAAUAAAUAACUUAUCUAUAAUGGUCAUUACUUUUAAAUUUGCCAUACAGUUGUUUCUGGUUAUUUUCUUCUUUUAAAAGUUAUAAAUAAAACUUCUACAUUUACCAUAUUUGUAUGAGCUUUUAUAGAAAAAAUCUUUGCUUUUCCUCUAUUAUUUGACUUCAAUGUACUUUUUUAGUAAUUCUUUAUUUGAAUAGCUGCUAAAAUUAAUAUUUUGUAGCUUUUCAAACAUUUUAUGGAACAACAACUCUUACGGUGAAAGUACAUGAAAUAAAGGGGUUGUCUUUACCUUCUAAAAUUGUCUGAGUUAUUGAAUUUCUGUAUUUGUGAAUAACUAUAAUGAUGAAAACUUUCUAGCUCAGUAAUCUAACUGUCGUAGUUAUUGAAACAGAACCUUACAAAACUAUACUUACAAUGUCGGUUCAUAGAACUGUCUAUUCAUUUCUUUUGAAUGUCUCAUAUAACGAAAAGGCUUUGUUUGAAUAUGAUUGUAGAGCUAGCUUUAUAUAAGUAGAAUGAGAAUAAAAGCAAUAUUUGCGAUGCAUCUGAGUGAUGAAGUUUCAAGUUGAACUAAUAUUUCAUCCUUUUCCCCUGACAAGCUAUUUUGUACCUUCAGUCAUUGUGAUGAAAAUGUGCAUGCCAAUACUGCUUCAUUAUAUAAGUAAUUACUAUUCAGGGCGAGAAUCGAAAAGUAAAUUGAAAUUUGAAAUUUCUACAACAAUCAUAGAAAGUAGCUUUUAAAGUCUAGACAUUUUGGAUGUUGUCGGUAUUAAACCACUGUAAGUGCUUACUACCUGGCUAAAUAUUGCCCUUAUAAAUCACCAAGUGUUUAUUACUUUGCUGUAUAUUGUUUGUAUUAAAUCACUGUAAUUGUUUACUUCCCAGCUCAAUAUUGUCUGUAUAAGUCACUAAAUGUUUACUACUGGCUGGAUCUUGUCUUGAUUAAAUCACGAUAUCUUUGGUACUGCCUGGUUGGAUAUUGUCUGUAUUAAAUCAUUGUAAGUGGUUACUACCUUUCUGGGUAUUGUCUGUGUUAAAUCAUUGUAAGUGUUUACUUCCUGGCUGCAUAUUGUCUUUAUUAAAUCACCGCAAGUGUUCAUUUAAAAUUUGACAGAAUUUCAUG
rnacentral:misc_RNA from 1 species